AACGCACGAGACCUGCGGACCUGCGGAGGGAUCAUUAAUGAGAAACUGCCCCUCGCGGGUAGAUCUCCCACCCUUUGUAAACUUACCUUUGUUGCUUUGGCUGGCCCGUCUCCGGACCGCCGGCUUCGGCUGGCCAGUGCCUGCCAGAGGAUUCUAAAACUCUGUCUGUCAGUGUUGUCUGAGUCUAUAUACAAUCGUUAAAACUUUUAACAAUGGAUCUCUAGAUCGGAAGAGCACACG
rnacentral:misc_RNA from 1 species